rnacentral:rRNA from 1 species
UAGGGAAUAUUGGACAAUGGGUGCGAGCCUGAUCCAGCCAUGCCGCGUGCAGGAAGAAGGCGUUAUGCGUUGUAAACUGCUUUUGCCAGGGGAUAAAAUAACUGUGCGCAGUUGAUUGAAGGUACCUGGUGAAUAAGCCACGGCUAACUACGUGCCAGCAGCCGCGGUAAUACGUAGGUGGCAAGCGUUGUCCGGAUUUAUUGGGUUUAAAGGGUGCGUAGGCGGCCCUGUAAGUCAGUGGUGAAAUAUCUCAGCUUAACUGAGAGGGUGCCAUUGAUACUGCGGGGUCUUGAGUACAGAUGAGGUAGGCGGAAUUGACGGUGUAGCGGUGAAAUGCAUAGAUAUCGUCAAGAACACCGAUAGCGAAGGCAGCUUACCAAGCUGUAACUGACGCUGAGGCAC